AUCACUCAUAAACAGCGACCUCCAUGUGGUGAGUGAUGGGCAACAGCAAAAAUGCUGGCUAACGCUGAA
rnacentral:ribozyme from 1 species